rnacentral:RNase_P_RNA from 1 species
GACGGCUGGAUGACCGCGCCUUGCUAUGGGAAACCUGCAAGGGGAGGAAAGUCCGGGCUCCACGGAAACACGGUGCCGGGUAACGCCCGGCGGGGGCGACCCCAGGGAAAGUGCCACAGAAAGCAAACCGCCAGUUCGUUGCAAAACUAACUGGUAAGGGUGAAAGGGUGCGGUAAGAGCGCACCGCGCGCCUGGAGACAGGGGCGGCAUGGUAAACCCCACCGGGAGCAAGACCGAAUAGGAAGGACCGGUGGCUUCGGACCACGGGUGCGUUUUCGCACCGUUCUUCGGGUAGGUCGCGCGAGGCGUCCGGCAACGGACGCCCCAGAUGAAUGGUCAUCCAUGGCUCGCAAGAGCAGGGACAGAACCCGGCUUACAGGCCGUCUG